CAGUUCUUCCAGGGACGAACUGGCGGCCGUCCCCUCCCUCUUCUUCACCAAAUCUCCCCCAGAUCUGCUAUUUUGAUCAUCAAAACGAGUAGAUCGGAGCAUCCCCGAGUUGCUUGAGGAUGUUUGAGCCGGAUAAAUAUCCCGGCCUUGAUGAUUAUUACGAGGAGAAGCAUCGUGUUGUGCUAGUGGAAAGAGGGGAGGUUCCUCCAGUACUUCGGUUGAGAGGCCACAACCCACGUGAGUCCCUGAAGUAUGACCGUCGCUACGAGCCUUAUUUUAGAAGAAUGGAUCUUCUCCAGUUUGUGCUCAACUUUAAAGGCACACCACCAUGGCUGAACUCGACGGCCAUUACCGCCCUUACGAGCCUCACUAACGCUUGCUCCCUAGCGCGACACGCAUUUGACGCUCUCACUAUUUCCUUCCUCUUCUCUUCAAGCUCCUCUUCCUUCUUCUUCUUUAGUGUGGCUGCAUCCUCCUCUCUCAGCUUCUUCGCAACCUUCUCCUACCACCCCGCCAUCUCACCUUCGCCAUCCUCAAGCCCCUUCAUUGUUGCCUUGUUGGGUUGAGAAGCCGCCAUAUCUAUGAAAAAUUGCAAAACAUUAGUUAGUAAGGACAAAAAUAACAUGAAAAUAAUUAUGAAAUGUAGCCACGUACGGAAAUGGUCCAUCUAGGUAUCCAAACAUUCCUCUAGCAUUACCACGGCCUCUACCCAUGAAACCUCCUCUACCACCACCCGAACCUCUACCCCUACCACGAGCACCAUCAGCGGUAACUCGUCCUCGACCACGGCCACCCCUGGAUCCUCGGCCACCACCUGAACCUCGGCCACCGGAACCUCGGCCACCACCAAGUCCAUC